rnacentral:rRNA from 1 species
AGAAUCAACGCUGGCGGCGUGCCUAACACAUGCAAGUCGAACGAGAAAGUGGAGCAAUCCAUGAGUAAAGUGGCGACCGGGUGAGUAACACGUGACUAACCUACCUUCGAGUGGGGGAUAACCUCGGGAAACCGAGGCUAAUACCGCAUAACAUCGCAAGAUCAAAGCAGCAAUGCGCUGGAAGAGGGGGUCGCGGCUGAUUAGCUAGUUGGCGGGGUAACGCCCACCAAGGCGAAGAUCGGUA